UAUAUGAGAAAGGUCUCUCAUUACUAUCUUGGCUAGCAUUGUGGUUUUAUGUUCCCAGAGUUUGGAAGCUGUGACUUGGGAAAAACCAUGGUACCUGGCUGACAAACCAAUUGACAUAAAUGUGCUAACCAUAUACUGGCAGGUGGCCUGGUCUACUAGCUGGCUUCUGAGAAAUGAUAAACACGAGGCCUCACAGACAGAUCACCACUAUCUCCAGCUUCUAAAUGUUCUGGAAUCAGAAUGUGGAGCAAGUUCAUUGCUCUCUAUUUUUACUGGAAAUGGACCAAAGAAACUGCCAACAGCUCUUUCUGUGUCUAAUACCCAUCACACAAUGCAACAUUGUUUGUCAAGCUGUUGGGUUCUUUAUCUGGCAUAUAUUUCAGGGACACGUUUUGAUGGUGGAGGUAACUGAUCUACCUGAGUAUUCAGAUCUAUCUGCCAACACUGAGAAGAAAACCGAGGAGGGCUGCAACGUGGCUGUCAUGUGUUCCAGGUUCUGGAAUGUGCUCCAUGUGUUUUCUCCUUUUGGAUCUCAGGCAAAAGAAGCAGCCCCACUCUGGGCUGUCCCUGUCUUCACAGCAGAGGGGAAGAGUGAGCAGCUGAACCAAAAGCACACUGUCACAUUUAAAGCAUUAGCUUGGACAGAUGGAACAUCUGCUCAUAUUCCAUUGCUCAGCACAAGUCACUUGGCCAAGCCCAACAUUGCUAUGGCAGGGAUGUGUACCCCACCCAGGGCAGGAGGGGAGAGUUAUCUACCAUAAUCUCCAGCAACAUUUGGUGUAUCCAUCCUUUCUAACUUUUCAAGAGGCAAGGACAUGUGCAUAUACACACAAAAUACACUUUCUAAACAUGGGAUGAUUCAUGCUAUAAAAUUACUUGCCUAAAUGCUUUUUUUUGAUGGACAGUUUUCUAAAUCAAUAUGUAUUCUUACAUCCUCAUUUUGAUUGGAUACAUAAUAUUCCACUUUAUAGAUAUGCAUGGACAUCCUUGUGCAUAUAUCUUUGAACACAUAAUUAAGAUCCAUUACUACAAGUAGAAUUACUGGGGCAUUCAGAUCUCACAUUUUCAAGGCUUCUGGUGAAUAUUACAAUUUACACUCCUAAAAAUGACAAUCCUCACUUAAAAUAAAAAUGUAUUGACUUUUCA
rnacentral:lncRNA from 12 species